rnacentral:rRNA from 1 species
UGAGGAAUAUUGGUCAAUGGACGCAAGUCUGAACCAGCCAAGUAGCGUGCAGGAUGACGGCCCUAUGGGUUGUAAACUGCUUUUAUAUGGGGAUAAAGUGGGGAACGAGUUCCCUUUUGCAGGUACCAUAUGAAUAAGGACCGGCUAAUUCCGUGCCAGCAGCCGCGGUAAUACGGAAGGUUCGGGCGUUAUCCGGAUUUAUUGGGUUUAAAGGGAGCGUAGGCCGUUUGGUAAGCGUGUUGUGAAAUGUAGGAGCUCAACUUCUAGAUUGCAGCGCGAACUGUCAGACUUGAGUACGCACAACGUAGGCGGAAUUCAUGGUGUAGCGGUGAAAUGCUUAGAUAUCAUGAAGAACUCCGAUUGCGAAGGCAGCUUACGGGAGCGCAACUGACGCUGAAGCUCGAAGGUGCGGGUAUCGAACAGG